CACAAGUUGCCCGAAGAUGUGAGGAGGCAAGACCAGUGAACUUUGGUGGAUCAAGCAGCCCCGACCAGGAUUCGGAGGAGAAGAGGCCUUGGGGAAGGAAGUUGAAUAAAGAGAAGAACAAGGUCCUAGAAGAUGCUGAAAUCAACAAUGGAAUGAGCCUGAGCCCCUGAACAUAAACCCAGUGUGCUCUGCUUUGCACCAGUGACCUUAAAAGGAAGCAAUAUUUGCCUAGACUUCCAUUGCUGCUUCAUUUCAUGGGUCAAGAGACUACAGCAUCUUCAACAUUGGACUAUCGCAUUCUGUCCUUGGCUGCUUUUACUUGAAGCAGCAGAAAAUUAGAGGAAUUCCUGGAGCAUAAAAGCUACUGAAGUCUGUACAUGUGUUUGGCUUGUUUGUUUUUCCCCCUAAAAUAAAACUUAACAGGGUCCUACCUGUCCCGCUAGUGCUUAUGAUGUGUUAUCAAGUGUGAGGGAAUCAUUUUUCUCAUUGAGUAAAUUCUGUGUGCUACAUGAAGGACUGCAUGAGUGAAAGUGGAAGGGGCUACCGAGUCCCCACCUGCCAUGCCAGCACCCCGUUUGUCCAUUUCCCAUACUGGAACUACUCCAUGACAUCUACUGCUUCCCAGAUCUAAUCCUGACCUGUGGAAAGGGCCCUUGAGCAGCUCCAGCCCACAUUCUACAUUGCCCACCACAGUGAGAAGAUGCCCUCGUUUAAAAUACACUACCUACCAAGAUGUUCAUGACCUUAAGUGAUAAAAGAUUUUGUACAAUAUAAUCCCAUAUUCAUAAAACAGGUGUAUUAGUUUGCAGUAACAGAGUAUCCCAGACUGAGUGGCUAAAACAAUAGAAAUUUAUUGUCUCAUAGCUCUGGACGCCGGAAGUCCAAGACCAAGGUGUUAGAAGGGUAUGUUCCAUCUGAGAACUGAUGGAGAGAUAGCAUCUGUCCCAUGCGUCUUCCCUAGCUUUUCAUUGUUUCCUGGCAAUCUUUGGCAUGCCUUGGUUUGUAGAAGCAUUGCCAUGAUCUGUCUUCAUUUUCACUUAGCAUUCGCCUUGUGUGCAUGGCUCUGGCUUCAAAUGUUCCCUUUUUAUAAGGACACCAGUCUUAUUGGAUUAGUGCCCAAUAUAAUGACCUC